UCUCAACCGAAUUAUAUUGAUUGCUCCGACUAAAGUUAUAUCCAAGGGGUGACAUAUUGUCACUGUCACAAGAUGACAGCACUGUGAUGUUCUUUUCCUAAGGUGCCUGUAAUUUAACAAGAGGAUGUGAACGUUACGGGGGAAAACAAGACUGUCAUUUUUAAAUGAAGUCAUAGUUAGUAAUGUGUAUUGGGAUCAAUGGGAAGCCGUGCAUUUAUGCUGAAUUCUGUUCAGCGGUGAACCAUCUGCAUCAGUUGGGGUAACAAUGGAACCAAUCCUGGGAACAACAGGAUCAAGGUGGGAAUAUAGGACCAUCCAUCGCAAGCCACCAUGCAUACACACAUCCACAAUGAGGGGUAAUUUACUGUCACCAAUGCACCAAUAUGUUUUUGGUAAGUGGGAGGAAAUCUGAGAACCCAGUGCAAGAACAAACCCACACAGAAACAUGCAGAGAAAUUUCACACAGAGAGUAGCUCAAGUUCAGGAUUGACUGGGAGCCCUGGAGCAUACAGCUCUGUUAUGAUAAAAUAUUGUUUUUUUUUUUCUCUAUGUAAUGUAAUUUGGGGACGCCUACUAGCCUAUUAGGGAGGUAAGUAAUGUUACUAGGGAAUUCCAAAAAGACAGUUAUUUUGUUUGUGAGUGAGUACAUUUCCCGGCACUUAAUUCUCUAUGUGGACAAAUGAAAGUUGAAAGGAAAUAGUGUCAAAUAUACUUUUGCAAUAUCACACAAGCAAGAGUGCUGUUAUUUGGCAAUCACAGCCAUGUCAAUAUUCAGUUCUACAGCAUGACUCCGAGCACAGUAUUGCUAUUUUAUAAAUAAAAAAUUAAUAUAGAGUAAAUGACAUUUCAGAUACAAGAUGGCUAUAUACAAUAUUUUGUUUAUUUUUGCUCCAUUAAUGGAAAUUGAUCCUGAGGAAGCCACACUCACUGACAGACCAUCAGCUAGCUGGCUUGCUU